AAUAGAUACCCGGGUAGUCCACGCCGUAAACGUUGGAUACUAGGUGUGGCGUCCCGAUCAACGGAUGCCGUGCCGAAGCUAACGCAUUAAGUAUCCCGCCUGGGGGAGUACGGCCGCAAGGCUAAAACUCAAAGGAAUUGACGGGUCCCCGCACAAGCGGCGGAGCAUGCGGCUUAAUUCGAUGCAACCCGAAGAACCUUACCUGGGUUUGAAAUCAUGGGAAAAGCUGUAGAAAUACAGUGUCCGUAAGGGCCCAUGACAGGUGGUGCAUGGCUGUCGUCAGCUCGUGUCGUGAGAUGUUGGGUUAAGUCCCGCAACGAGCGCAACCCUUGUCCUAUGUUGCCAGCGGUUCGGCCGGGGACUCAUAGGAGACUGCCGGGGAUAACUCGGAGGAAGGUGAGGACGACGUCAAGUCAUCAUGCCCCUUAUAUCCAGGGCUGCACGCAUGCUACAAUGGUCGGUACAACGGGCAGCGACCCCGCGAGGGUGAGCGAAUCCCACAAAGCCGGCCUCAGUUCGGAUUGGAGU
rnacentral:rRNA from 1 species